UGCGCGCGAUGGUGCCACCAGACCUCCACCGUUUCCGCCUCCGCACCCCCGCCCCGCCCACGUCCGGCUUCUCUUUCACAUGCGUCGCCUUGCAAGCGAUCCCAGCAGGGUGGGAUACGUGGAACAGUGGCAGGGAUGAAAGAGUCGGCUUGCUGACCACUCGCGUCUUCGUCACCCACUGAAGGCAAAACCACAAGGCAAUGAAGGGAGCGACACCUGCACAAAAAUCCCUUUCUCCCUCUCUGUGUGCGUGUGUACGCUGGGGCCAAGGUGGACCUUAAGCACCCCGCCCAGUCAGCGCGACGGAGCUCUCGCGGCCAGCACCGCCCAAGCAGCAUGCACAGGUCGAGCUGGAGGAUAGGGAGACCAUUACCACGCGUGCCGGCAUGACGGACGGGGUACUCUCUGGCCGUGCACUUGGCCGCUGCGUCUUCUCUCGUCUCCUCUGCGUGUGGCGGCGCACUCACUUCGUUGCCCUCCCACCCCCUGACCGUGCAAGUCAAGUG
rnacentral:misc_RNA from 1 species